AACUAACAAGAUUCCCUUAGUAACGGCGAGUGAACAGGGAAGAGCCCAGCACCGAAGCCUGCGGUCAUUUGGCUGUUAGGCAAUGUGGUGUUUAGGUUCUAUCGCAGAAGUACCACUUCACUCAAAGUCCAGCAAUGAGUAUGGUUUAUUGGACUUGGCCCAAAGAGGGUGAAAGGCCCGUGCGGGUGAAGAUCAAGCAGGUUGGUGCUUCUACCGGUGGACCUUGGAGUCGGGUUGUUUGUGAAUGCAGCCCAAAGUGGGUGGUAAACUCCAUCCAAGGCUAAAUACCUACACGAGUCCGAUAGCGAACAAGUACCGUGAGGGAAAGUUGAAAAGUACUUUGAAGAGAGAGUAAACAGUACGUGAAACCGCUCAGAGGUAAACGGGUGGAGUUGAACUGCAAGCUCUGGGAAUUCAACCAGUGGGUAUGCAUUGUGUUUGGGCAUUCCUGAUCGAUGGGUAGAGUCCGCUGAAUUGGCAGGUCUAACAGCUUCAACUGUUGGGUAGGCGCUCCGCUUAUCAAGCGUUGCCUGCUCUACUCCAAAAAACGGAUCAACUUGCUGGUGCACUUUCUCAGGGUCAACACCAUGACCGAUGCUGCUGUCCGUCUGCUAUGGUUAAACCGUUUAGGUAGAACUUUUGUGGUUCUGUCUACUCGGGUUGGCAGGUAGCUCGAUGGUUUGUGUCAGUUCUCCUUGAAUUGAUACAGCAUAACUAUGGAGUGUUAUAAGCUGACCAUAGUGGUUGUGUUUACGGUACAGUGUGUCGGAGGUAACGGCUUCAGGCAUGUACAUGUGUGUCAUGGACUUGUGGAUGUGUUCCAAGUCUGGUUACCUGUUUGCUUGUAAACACAAGCCUGGUGAUGUCUUGGUAGUAUAUUCAUAGGCGACUGCAUAUGUGAUGCUAUUGACUAUUGGGCCAAAAGUCUGUGGUGUGGUGGUAGACUUCCUCCCGACCCGUCUUGAAACACGGACCAAGGAGUUUAACAUGUGCGCGAGUCAUUGGGCGUUACGAAACCCAAAGGCGCAGUGAAAGUGAAGGUCUGACCCUGUGUCUAGACUGGGGUGAGAUCCUGUUGUUUCUCGUGCAUGGUACUGCCAAGCAUUCGAGCAAUAGGCGCAUCACCUGCCCGUCCCAUGAUGUGGUCAUGUCACUUUGGUGGUAUGCAUCAUCGGGGCGGAGCUAGAGCGUACAUGUUGAGACCCGAAAGAUGGUGAACUAUGCUUGCGCAGGUUGAAGCCAGAGGAAACUCUGGUGGAGGACCGCAGCGAUUCUGACGUGCAAAUCGAUCGUCUGACGUGAGUAUAGGGGCGAAAGACUAAU
rnacentral:rRNA from 1 species